rnacentral:sRNA from 1 species
CCAAUUCACAUAAAGUUUUAACUUUUGAAGAUGAGAGAAACAAUACUACUAUUGCUUUCUCAAUUUUUC